UGUGGGUCUGAAAUUUGCUCAGAGUGAGACAUCGUUAUCACAAGCGAUCUUUGUAUUGUAUGUGCGGAAAUGGGAGCGAGGGAGUGCUCUGAUCUUUUGCCUAUCUUUGACGUGUUUUCUCCGUUAAUGUUGAGAAAAGUGCUUCGGCAGUAUCAAAACUGUGAAUAAGCUCAUGUACACGCUUGUACCUUGGGAAACAUUCGUCUUUCUUCCACAGAUUCAGUAAAAUUAACAAGUGGUGGAGACCAGCAGGUGGAUGAGGGAAGGGGAGGCAGGAGGAGAGACCAGAGGAAGCCGCCGGUCGGAGCGUCAGGUGAACUAAACUUCAGCUGAAAGCUUCAGUCCUGGUGGGAAACAUCACUAAACAUUUAAAGGAUGUAAACAGACAGAGAAGAAGGUUACUGACCUUGGUGUGUUGUGCAGCUCAGCACUGAGAUCAGAACUAAAGAGAAAAGGUUGGUUUGAGUUUUCACAAACAAAUUUCACAAUCAAUAUUUCAUCAAUUAGUCAAUCAGUGAAGUGAUAAGUAAUAUUAUCUUCUGUACUGCUGUGUCUGAUAAAGAGAAGAGAUUCUGUGCUAUUGGGUUUAUGCUUCAUGUCAAAAUGCGAAACUUUUAUAUCUUAAUCUGGGGAGAGAGGAAUUUUUGGUUAAUUGUUAAGCAGGAAAGAUUUUCUGUUUUUGUAUUGUUCUACUUUGUUUUCAUGCUGUAGCCUUUUUGUAUAAAUUGUCUAAAAGACAGCAUGUAUAUUUCACUGUGCAGUUCUGUUUUUAAAAUCACUACAUUGCUAAAUGCAUUUCUUCACAAAUUGUUCAAUUGUGUUAAGAUGGCUAAACCUGCUCUUCACGGC
ensembl:lncRNA